GCGUUUCGAGUGAUCCUACUUUCUUAACUAAUCUUUCCGUUUCUGAUUCUUGUUUUGUUCUUCUUCUUUUUGGUUUCUAGGAGUAUUCCGACUCUGCAAGAGGGUCACAAGGAAGAAGUUCUCCAAGCAUGGUGUAUGGAUGACAGUGAGGAAGACCAGAGGCAAACUUGCAGGUUGUGUGAUUUGAUGGCAGUGGUCCAAGGCACAAUCACAGUAAUGUGUUCACUCUAUAAGUGCUUGCAAGGUCGGGAAACAACAGAUUAUGCUUGUUUCAUUUUGGACAGCUUGGAAGAUGAUUGAUUGAAAGAAUGGGAUCUUUCUUGGAGUCCUAUAGCUUUCACACAUAGAUGCAAAGUGCUGUUGUCCAUAGAAUUCAGUGAUGCAGAAAUUGAGGCUCUGUUUAACAGGCAGGCUAUGGAGAGAAGAGAAGGGAUUGUAAAAAGAUGAGAAGAUGGAGGGAGAAGCUAAGAGGACAAAAAGGCUGCAGUGAUGGCUCAUUCAGUGAAUGUGUCUUGAAGAAAUAAAAUCAUUCAUUGCCUCUCAGGACCAACGGAUUUAUGCAAACACACCAUCAUUCUGAAAGUUUAU